rnacentral:rRNA from 1 species
AUACGUAGGGGGCGAGCGUUGUCCGGAAUCAUUGGGCGUAAAGGGUGCGUAGGCGGCUUGGCAAGUCCUGUGUGAAAGGUCGCGGCUUAACCGCGGUGGGUCAUGGGAAACUGCCAGGCUUGGGUGCCGGAGAGGAUAGCGGAAUUCCACGUGUAGCGGUGAAAUGCGUAGAUAUGUGGAGGAACACCAGUGGCGAAGGCGGCUAUCUGGAAGGUAACUGACGCUGAGGCACGACAGCUGGGGGAGCAAACAGGAUUAGAUACCCUGGUAGUCCCAGCCGUAAACGAUGAGUGCUAGGUGUUGGGGGUAUCGACCCCUCCAGUGCCGAAGUCAACACAAUAAGCACUCCGCCUGGGGAGUACGGCCGCAAGGCUGAA